rnacentral:tRNA from 1 species
GUGUAGCUCAGUGGCAGAGCACAGGCUUCGAAGGUGUGGAGGUCUGGGUUCAAUCCCAGCAC